GGUGUAGGCAAGCUGGCUGUGACAUCUGUCACCCCACUGAUUACCAGGCUUGAGACUGCUGAUCUGGCUGGUUAGGCACAUGUCCCCUUCUCCCCUCACUGUGGCCUGCAUGUCCCUCUGAAGCUGUGUGCUCAGCGGAAGAGGAUGAUCAUCUCUAAUAGAGGAAGACCUUCAUUCCUCAAGGAGAUAGGAGUAGCUGUGCUCCCCUGCUGUAACUCCAAACAUGCUCUCAAGGUCCCUUCUAAAAUAGACAGACACUUCUUAAGCAUUUACAUAUCUUUUGAAAUAUUUAGGUGCAAAUGGAUACAUUUUA
ensembl:misc_RNA 7SK 7SK RNA